rnacentral:rRNA from 1 species
UACGUAGGAGGCAAGCGUUAUCCGGAAUGACUGGGCGUAAAGGGUGCGUAGGUGGUUCAGCAAGUUGGCAGCGUAACUCCGGGGCUCAACCUCGGCACUACUGCCAAAACUGUUGGACUUGAGUGCAGGAGGGGCAAUCGGAAUUCCUAGUGUAGCGGUGGAAUGCGUAGAUAUUAGGAGGAACACCAGUGGCGAAGGCGGAUUGCUGGACUGUAACUGACACUGAGGCACGAAAGCGUGGGGAGCAAACAGG